rnacentral:rRNA from 1 species
GAUUAACGCUAGCGGCAGGCCUAAUACAUGCAAGUCGAACGGCAGCACGGGUAGCAAUACCUGGUGGCGAGUGGCGCACGGGUGCGUAACGCGUAUGCAAUCUACCUAUAACUGGGGAAUAGCCUUCCGAAAGGAAGAUUAAAACCGACAUAAUAUCACGAAGCGGCAUCGUUUUGUGAUCAAAUCUCCGGAGGUUAUAGAUGAGCAUGCGUGACAUAGCUAGUUGGUGAGGUAACGGCUCACCAAGGCUACGAUGUCUAGGGGGUCGUA